rnacentral:rRNA from 1 species
UACGGAGGGUGCAAACGUUGCUCGGAAUCAUUGGGCGUAAAGCGCACGUAGGCGGCCUGUUAAGUCGGGUGUGAAAUCCCUCGGCUCAACCGAGGAAGUGCAUUCGAAACUGGCGGGCUUGAAUGUGGAAGAGGGUCGUGGAAUUCCCGGUGUAGAGGUGAAAUUCGUAGAUAUUCGCAAGAACACCAGUGGCGAAGGCGGCCGACUGGUCCGGUUCUGACGCUGAGGCGCGAAAGCGUGGGGAGCAAACAGG